rnacentral:rRNA from 1 species
AGGACGAACGCUGGCGGCGUGCUUAACACAUGCAAGUCGAGCGGUAAGGCCUUUCGGGGUACACGAGCGGCGAACGGGUGAGUAACACGUGGGUGAUCUGCCCUGCACUCUGGGAUAAGCCUGGGAAACUGGGUCUAAUACCGGAUAUGACCUGCUCUCGCAUGGGGGUGGUGGAAAGAUUUAUCGGGUGCAGGAUGGGGCCCGCGGCCUAUCAGCUUUGGUUGGUGGGUAAUGGCCUACCAAGGCGACGACGGGUAGCCGACCUGAGAGGUGACCGGCCACACGUGGGACUGAGACACGGCCCAGACUCCUACGGGAGGCAGCAGUGGGGAAUAGUGCACAAGUGGGACGAAAGCCUAGAUGCAGCGACGCCGCGUAGA